rnacentral:rRNA from 1 species
AGUGAACGCUGGCGGUAGGCCUAACACAUGCAAGUCGAACGGCAGCACAGUAAGAGCUUGCUCUUACGGGUGGCGAGUGGCGGACGGGUGAGGAAUACAUCGGAAUCUACUUUUUCGUGGGGGAUAACGUAGGGAAACUUACGCUAAUACCGCAUACGACCUACGGGUGAAAGCAGGGGAUCUUCGGACCUUGCGCGAUUGAAUGAGCCGAUGUCGGAUUAGCUAGUUGGCGGGGUAAAGGCCCACCAAGGCGACGAUCCGUAGCUGGUCUGAGAGGAUGAUCAGCCACACUGGAACUGAGACACGGACCAGACUCCUACGAGAGGCAGCAGUGGGGAAUAUUGGACAAUGGGCGCGAGCCUGAUCCAGCGAUACCGCGUGGGUGAAGAAGGCCUUCGGGUUGUAAAGCCCUUUUGUUGGGAAAGAAAAGCAGCAGGUUAAUACCCCGCUGUUCUGACGGUACCCAAAGAAUAAGCACCGGCUAACUUCGUG